rnacentral:tRNA from 1 species
GCCCGUCUAGCUCAGUCGGUAGAGCGCGAAGGCUCUAACUUGUGGUCGUGGGUUCGAGCCCCACGGUGGGCG